AUUGAACGCUGGCGGAAUGCUUUACACAUGCAAGUCGAACGGCAGCACGGACUUCGGUCUGGUGGCGAGUGGCGAACGGGUGAGUAACAUAUCGGAACGUAUCCAAUAAUGGGGGAUAACGAGUCGAAAGAUUCGCUAAUACCGCAUACGCCCUACGGGGGAAAGCUGGGGACCUUCGGGCCUGGCGUUAAUGGAGGGGCCGUUAUCUGAUUAGCUAGUUGGUGAGGUAAAGGCUCACCAAGGCGACGAUCAGUAGCUGGUCUGAGAGGACGACCAGCCACACUGGAACUGAGACACGGUCCAGACUCCUACGGGAGGCAGCAGUGGGGAAUUUUGGACAAUGGGCGCAAGCCUGAUCCAGCCAUUCCGCGUGAGUGAAGAAGGCCUUCGGGUUGUAAAGCUCUUUCGCAAGGGAAGAAAACUUAGCCACUAACAUUGGUUGAGGUUGACGGUACCUUGAUAAGAAGCACCGGCUAACUACGUGCCAGCAGCCGCAGUAA
rnacentral:rRNA from 1 species